AAAUGUUUAAUGAAAAAAGGAAUUGGUUUUGAAAAUAAUGAAUACUCCUCAAGAAUAUUAACACGUGAUUGAAACAAGCAGUUUGAUUGUCUGACAAGACUGUCAACAAAAUGCCUGCUUCCCGCACGUGUUCGCUUCAAGAAAACAAUUUGUAUUUGCGAAAGGCUCAUUUCUCAUCAAAUUCACGAAAAAGGUUGGAAACAGAUAGAUCUACUGAUACUUGUUACAUCUACCCUUAGAUCUAUUGGCGUUCUGUUCUGAUUUCUGCAUCGAAGUCGACAUGUUGAUCUGGAUUUCUACUUUCUCAGUUUUCACACACACAAAUAUCUUGACGUACGUAUUGUUUCGUUGUAAAACGUGUGAUCUAAAGUCGUUAAUCGAUUAUGGUUUAGGAGGUUGAUUCCCAACAGUAAUUACACACACACACACACUUAACAUGAAUCAUGAUUGUCCUGAUUUUGACCAUGAACAUGAUCUGUACUCAGAAUUCAAUAAUCCGACAUCCUCGUUAAUCCAACAAUUUGCUGUGCAACGGACGAGGUCGGAUUAACGAGAUGUGACUGUACUAUCUGUGGGUUUUGAGAAGGUUAAAUAUAAAAAUUAAACAGAAAUUUCAAAAUGUAAACAUUACUCAAAAAGCAAACUUUGAAGCAACAAGUAAUGGAGUUGGGAAACUCUGGGUUAUUGGUUCAGCUGCACAC